rnacentral:lncRNA from 1 species
AUGGACACUAUCAAUAAGAAAAUUCAGACGCUAAAGGUGGAGAAGGAUAAUGCCACCAACCCCGUCGAGGAAGUCAAAGCCAAUGAGAAGCAAACUGAAGACUGCUACAAACAGCUGGGUGAGGAGCAGCAGGGCCUCCAGAAGAAUCUGAAGGGGACAGGAGAUGACACAGAAGAGUAUUUAAAUUCAUGAAUGAUAUCUUGGAGAAACUGGAACAGGAAGAUAAGGAUACUGUUGCUGAGGCAAAUGUGGUCUCUAUAAAACGCCUCAUUGAGCAGAUAGAAGAGGAGCUUGACUGGCACAGGUGCAUCUGGCUGUAGCCCUGCAAAAGCUGGAAGAUACUCAGUAGGUAGCCAAUGAGAGGGACAGAAGGAUGAAGUUCAUCAAAUACCAGCCCAUGAAGUAUGAGGAGAAGAUCUGGGGAGGAAAACUAGAUCACUCAGGAGAGAUAGCUCAGGUGACCAAGAUCUGAGCCAGACAGCUGGAGGAGAAACUUCAAGCCAUGGACUAGGCCAUCAAGGCACUGAGGGCCUUAGAGAGGGAAUAUUCCAUGAAAAUGUGUAAAUACGCAGAGGAUAUCAAAUUGGUGGAGAAAAAGCUGAAGGGGGUUGAGACUCAAGCAGAAUUUACAAAAAGGUCUACAGCAAAAUUGGAGAAGGCCACCAAUAAGCUAGAGAAGACCACGAAUAGUCCCAAGGAAAAGAAUGUGGAGACUCAC